CCUUGGCAGGUUUGCGCACCUGACGGGCCCUUGCCCACACACGGGGGUGCCGUUUACCACUGGCGCCGUGACGCACCUGGGUGUGCCCCUGUCGUGGGACUCUGAUGCGGCUGCAGCUGACUUGUACACCCGGCGGGCUCGCGGCAUGGCGUUUGUGGCGCGUCUGUGGGCUGCCCUGUCUCUGACUCUCGUUGGCCGUGUGCACAUUGCAAAGCAGGUGCUGGCGGCAAAGCUGGCCUACCACUUCAGCUUCCUCAACCCGUCGCCUGCGCAGCUGAAGGAACUCACCGACCUGGUGGACCACUUUGCUGCGCGCUCCAUGCACGCUGAGGACGCCAGCCUGGUGUCGCAUGGGAACCCGCUCCUGCUGCCCAAGCGGGAAACGGCCUGUCUGCCGUACAAGGAUGGGGGUGUCAACCACGUCGACCUGCCUGCGUUCCUGUCUGCCCUGCAAGCUAAGACUUUCGCCCUCCUUGCCCAGCCAGGCCGGCAACCCUGGAAGACGCUCACCCGGGCGCUGCUUACCCAUGUGCGCCCGGACUCCGCCACCACGUGGGCGUGGGUGUACAGCGACGCGCCAGCGCCAGCGGGGCUGCCUGCCCGGCUGGCGGCCGCAGUCGGCCACGUGCGGAGCGCGGGUGUGGAACAGCAUCCACCGCAGCCAGCCACUCAGCCGCCAGCGGCGCCGCCACAGUGGCGGGUUAGCCUGGACCAGCUGUGGGUGGCUAAUGCUGCGGGGGCUGUGUCCUACGUCCACUACACGGGGCGGCUCUUGGAGCCUGGACCUGGCGUGCUUUUUGAGGAAUCAUCCUUACAAGGUUGAACAGGGGCAGACGCACUGCCCCCCUGCUGCCUGAAAGCAGCCUGGUCCCCGAGACCAGAACCCUGAAAGGGCAAGAGAGAAGAAAAGAGAAGAAAACAGAAAGCAAACACCUCGAAAACGCCAGCAACCACCAAUCCCACCCCAUCCCACCCCGACCCGUGCUGCCCCCGGCGGUGGAUGGGGCGUGGCAGCCUGCCUGUGUGCUGCAGCAUCGCAAGCCGCGGCACCUGUGGACCUUUGAAGAGCGGGCGGCGUACGAUGCAGCAUCACCAGGGGACCGGGCGGGGGCGUGGCCUCGGGCGCCGUACUUCCUGGCGCCGGAGGCUGGGGUGGUGGUGCACCCGGAGCACUGCCGGAUUGCGGGUGUCAGCUUGGCGGACUACACGGUGCGGGACGUGCGGCGGGCCAUCACCGCGGCUAACCCGGCCGCACCUCCGGCUCCGGCCCGCCCCGCAGCCAUGCCGUGCCCGGCGCCAGCUCAGCAGGCGGGGGGUUCGGGGACCCAGCCGGCGGCACAGUCGCGGCUGGCGGAGCGGGAGGCGGAGUGGCAGCGUGCAGCGGCGCAGCUGACCACCACGGCGGCGCAGCACUUCAACAAUAACCCGGUGGCUCUGGACCCCUGGCUCCACCGCACCUCUGCGGCAGCCGGGCUGCAGAACACGCCGGCGAGAGAACAGUGCGGGGUACGUGGCGGAGGCUGUGGGACAGUCACGCUAGUCGGGGGGCAAAGGUGCUGGUGUACCGGCUACAACAUGCUUACCUGCCUUGCGGGCUGUACAGGGCGGGCAAGGGAAUUCAUCCACGGGUGACCACGGGGUGCGGGGGGUUGGGGGCGCACUGUCCUCACCCCGCCUGCGGGUCACCUGGCCCGCGGGCGUGGGCCAGCCUGACGCACAUCUUCCUGGAGUGUCCAGCUUAUGCGCAGGCGAGGACGUGGCUGCAGCAGCUGUGGGCCUGCGUUGCGCCCCAGGCAGCGGCGCCGCCAGUGACGGACGCGGGCUUCAUGCUGGGGGACCGCAUGGGUAUGUGGGCCUCAGGCCCGCGGGGGGCGGGCGCGCUGCUGUGGAGCACUUUGCGGGCCACCUUCUUUUUUUUUUUAAAAGUCAUCCUUACAAGGUUGCGGUGGUAGACGCACUACCACCCUACUGCCAAGGCAGCCUGGAUCAUAACACAGAACCUCGAUAGGGCCAGAGAUCAGAGAAGAGAAGAGAAGUUUGUUCCACCACACACCUACUGGAAACCUCAACAGCCAGGUGACACCACACACCUACUGGAGUUCUCAACAGCUAGGUGACAACUACAGCCACUGCCAUGACCACACAGAUCAUCUAGAGCUCUCCAGUUGACAGGCCCAGAGCUCCACUUGAAUCUUGGAUCUUGAACUUGAAAGCUCUCCAGUUGCAGGCCCAGAGCUCCAGCCUUGUACCCCAGAGACUCCCUGCACCACAGGGGGGGUCUACACACCACCAAGGUGUGGAUGGGUUUUGGUAAACCAGGGCCCUUCCUGGUGGGGUGACCGGGAUUCGAACCCAGGAUCUCUCGAAGCCUUAACGAAAUCAGCUUGAGUGUCUUAACCAUUUAGACGACCCCCCCGACCUUCUUGUACGCCGUCUGGUGUGCGUACUGGUCCCGCGAGCCUGCUAAGCAGACGUCGGAGCAUGUGGUUCGGGAGGUGGUCAGCGAGCUGCGCAGGGUGAUGCAGCUGCGUUUCACUGCCGCCACGCUAACCCCUGAAACCCUGUCGGCUCUGCCCACACAGCUUCUCACCGCGCAGCUCAAGGCGGCUAAGCUGGAGCACUUUGUUGCCAUCUGGACGGCAGGUGGCGCGCUUUGUGAAGUGGAGGAGGUUCAGGGUGGGUCACCGAAGUUGAACUUGCGGCUGACGCUUGCAUCACCUGUGCAGGCCCCCUGGGUUUCCUUUUGGGCGGCGUUUCUUUCCAAGCGCUGGCGUGGUGUACUAUCGUCAUCAGCUUAUCUGGCGCCCAUGUGUUUUAGCUCUGGCUGGCGUCACAGCGCCUGGGCGGCUGUGGGACUUCCUGCACAGCGCGUCUUGCAGCGGGCUGGAGCCCACUUAUUUAGCGCCACAUCUGGCCCGUUUAGUCUUCUGCUUGUGUCUCCUCUGCCGGUUCUCCUGGGGUGUUGCUUAAGCAACCGACUUGUGGGGGUGGGGUGGGUUUGGGCGGGGCGAGUGCGUAGCGCUGGUGUUUCUUUUUCUGGCGCGCGGUGGUGGUGGUUCUUGCGGUUAGGCUGUGGUGUAGGUUGGUGCUUGGGUUAGGUCUGGCUGUGUUUUUGUGCAACCCCUCCCGGGGGGCGGGGGGGCCAGCCUCCUGCUCUGUCUGCCGGGUCGGGGUGGGGUGGGGUGGGAUGGAUGGGGGUGGUUGUUGGCGGUUUUCGAGGUGUUUGUUUUCUGUUUUUCUUCUCUUUUCUUCUCUUCUUGCCCUGUCAGGGUUCUGGUCUCGGGGACCAGGCUGUCUUCAGGCAGCAGGGGGGCAGCGCGUCUGCCCCUGUUCAACCUUGUAAGGAUGAUCCCUCAAAAAAAAAAAACGCGGCGCGCACACAUUCUGCCUGCAUACCUUUUUGGGCUGAGCCCCCCGAGCGAAGCGAUCCAGGGGGGGGCGAAGCCCCCCAGGAUUGCCCCUGUCCGUGCCUGCCUGCGUGCCUGCCUGCGUCGACAAAAAGUGCCAAUCUGGCGCAAACCGCGAGUGCCACGUAUUAUUAAUUGCUAUUCCCUAUUGUAGAAAAAUAGGCGGCAGGGAAAACUCGGCCGGGGCGAGAAGCGACCUCGUGAGUCCAUGGACAUCUUGACUUUCUUCAGUCCGCGAGUAUAGCUCUCGGCCCCUAAAUAUCUUACAUCCAUGUAUCAAAACAUGUCGACGACAAGCGUCUUGGGGCAAGAAUGUCGAAAUUGUUUGCAACAGCCAAACCAUGCGUCCCCGAGCCUUAAAUGUGUCGCGGCCCGGGAUCCCGCGCCCGAGCCCGGCUAGCCGUUUGCGGUGCUUGAGUGGGAUGUGGGUGAGGUGCAUUUGGGAUAUCAUGGACCGUGAAGUGGCGUGGGUAAGGUGGCGUGGCGUGGCGGGGACAGGGCAUGUCGGUGCCUCGGCACGGCGUUGGCAUAGUGGCUAGUCCCGCUGGAUGGGCUUGCAAGGGUGCUGUUCAUGUCGCCGGUGCCCAUCGUCACAUCCCUUGCGCUUCAUGGGGCUCAGCCCAUUUUCCAGCUGUACAAAGCUGACACCCCUUGUUUUUUUAAAGUCAUCCUUACAAGGUUGCGGUGGUAGACGCACUCCCACCCUACUGCCAAGGCAGCCUGGAACAUAUCACAGAACCUCGAUAGGGCCAGAGAUCAGAGAAGAGAAGAGAAGUUUUUGUUCCACCACACACCUACUGGAAACCUCAACAGCCAGGUGACACCACACACCUACUGGAGUUCUCAACAGCUAGGUGACAACUACAGCCACUGCCAUGACCACACAGAUCAUCUAGAGCUCUCCAGUUGACAGGCCCAGAGCUCCACUUGAAUCUUGGAUCUUGAACUUGAAAGCUCUCCAGUUGCAGGCCCAGAGCUCCAGCCUUGUACCCCAGAGACUCCCUGCACCACAGGGGGGUCUACACACCAACAAGGUGUGGAUGGGUUUUGGUAAACCAGGGCCCUUCCUGGUGGGG
rnacentral:lncRNA from 1 species